rnacentral:rRNA from 1 species
CGUAGGGUGCGAGCGUUGUCCGGAAUUACUGGGCGUAAAGAGCUUGUAGGUGGUUUGUCGCGUUGUUCGUGAAAUCUCACGGCUUAACUGUGAGCGUGCGGGCGAUACGGGCAGACUAGAGUACUGCAGGGGGAGACUGGAAUUCCUGGUGUAGCGGUGGAAUGCGCAGAUAUCAGGAGGAACACCGGUGGCGAAGGCGGGUCUCUGGGCAGUAACUGACGCUGAGAAGCGAAAGCGUGGGAGCGAACAGGAUU